GAUGAACGCUGGCGGCGUGCCUAAUACAUGCAAGUCGAGCGAACAGACGAGGAGCUUGCUCCUCUGACGUUAGCGGCGGACGGGUGAGUAACACGUGGAUAACCUACCUAUAAGACUGGGAUAACUUCGGGAAACCGGCGCUAAUACCGGAUAAUAUAUUGAACCGCAUGGUUCAAUAGUGAAAGACGGUUUUGCUGUCACUUAUAGAUGGAUCCGCGCCGCAUUAGCUAGUUGGUAAGGUAACGGCUUACCAAGGCGACGAUGCGUAGCCGACCUGAGAGGGUGGUCGGCCACACUGGAACUGAGACACGGUCCAGACUCCUACGGGAGGCAGCAGUAGGGAAUCUUCCGCAAUGGGCGAAAGCCUGACGGAGCAACGCCGCGUGAGUGAUGAAGGUCUUCGGAUCGUAAAACUCUGUUAUUAGGGAAGAACAAAUGUGUAAGUAACUAUGCACGUCUUGACGGUACCUAAUCAGAAAGCCACGGCUAACUACGUG
rnacentral:rRNA from 1 species